GGAAUUUUGGACAAUGGGCGCAAGCCUGAUCCAGCCAUGCCGCGUGCAGGAUGAAGGCCUUCGGGUUGUAAACUGCUUUUGUACGGAACGAAAGGUUCUGCCCUAAUACGGUGGGAAUAUGACGGUACCGUAAGAAUAAGCACCGGCUAACUACGUGCCAGCAGCCGCGGUAAUACGUAGGGUGCGAGCGUUAAUCGGAAUUACUGGGCGUAAAGCGUGCGCAGGCGGUUAUGUAAGACAGAUGUGAAAUCCCCGGGCUCAACCUGGGAACUGCAUUAGUGACUGCAUAGCUGGAGUACGGCAGAGGGGGAUGGAAUUCCGCGUGUAGCAGUGAAAUGCGUAGAUAUGCGGAGGAACACCGAUGGCGAAGGCAAUCCCCUGGGCCUGUACUGACGCUCAUGCACGAAAGCGUGGGGAGCAAACA
rnacentral:rRNA from 1 species